UCCUUUUUUUUUUUUUUUUCUUUCUCCAACUAGACCCUUUGUUGUCUUCUUUUUCUUAUUCUCUGACAUGUUUGAUACUCUCUCUAUUAUUUAUUUGUUUGUUUUCCUUUUGAUAGACUUUCUUCUAAACCCAUUGCCAUGUUUGAGACUUCGUAUCUGUGUGUGUGUGUGUGCGCGCGCGCGCGUGCACGCCCGCGCUUUGUUUUCAUUCUAUGUAUACUUGUGCACCGACCCUGUGUCUUAGAAAUGUAUGCAGCGAUGUUUUCCUUACACAUCAUCAUACAAAGCUCUAUGUGUCAGGGACACAUAAUUGGUCACACCUCAUGGGUCUCCUAAUCUUUGCCAAGAGGUAGGACCUAGGGAUGCCAAAUGAAUUUGAGGCUUGUGGCUAAAGACAAACAUAUUUUUGUGGCUCUCUGCCCUGCUCGAGUCAAGUUGCCUUAGGACAAUUGAACUGAGAGGAAAACCUUAUCAUAUUAGAUAUCUCUUGGAAGCUUCUAGAAGCUUGGUUCCUUUGCCUCAAAUGCAAGUCUUCUCACCAAAAUGUAGUGCAUGGGGUUUUAACAGCCUAACAACUUGGCUUAACUGAUUACUGAAUAUUAUGGCAUGGAUUUGUCACAACCUUUGUAGACAAAUUUUGAAAGGUGAAAUGUUUCAACACAUUUCGAAAUUCAUGUUACAAAUGUCUACUGUUUAGUUUUUGGACUAAACAGUGUUGAUUAUUCGAUAGCAGGUUCCUAUUUUUGCUCUGUAUUCCAGAUCGUUAAUUACACAUUUUAAUCAAAUGAAACCUUCGAUUAGUGAGGAACAUAAAAUUUAAAAGAAGAAAAUCUAAGGAAAAAAAAUAUUUUUAUUGAAUUGUCCCUGAAUUGACAAGGUGCAAUUGUUGGGCGUGGAACCUUUUGCCUAUUGAUUGCCAUUGUCCUAUAUGUUUGUGGUGUAGUCUUCUGAGUUCUCUCUGUCUCACUCUUUAGUUGAUCUCCAAUCUUUGAUUUCUCUCUCCUUCUGAUUUCUAAUCUUUGAUCCACUAAUCCUCUUUGAUUUCUGAGAACGCUUUAUCUUUAUUUUGAAUUUGAAAUUCAUGUGAUAAGAGCGCGUGUUGCAAAUUUCAAACUAUUAUGACAAUGUUGUAAUGUUAUCAUAAUGAACUCGGUUGAUCAUGUUAAUCUCCCAAAUUUUAUUCCCUAUAGGCCAUGUUUGUUUGGGUGGACAUGAACUUAGGAUUGGACUAAUAGUCCAAUAAAAUUAUUAAUCCGAUAUUUGGUUAAACAAUUGAAGUACGGAUUAAUUAUUUUAAACUUGACUAUUAGUUAAGAUAGGAUACAUAAUCCAACGGAUUGGUAGUCUAGGACUAUUAAUCAUGGGAAUGCUAAUCCAGUCCGCCCAAACAAACAUGGCCAUAGUCCCAUGCUGAGUGUCAUAUUUUGAUUGAGUUCUUCAAGUCUUGUAGGCUCUACGUAUCACUUGGAUAUCUUGAAUGACAUCGUUGAAACACGAUGUUGUUGUACUUUAUUAUGCACUUCAAUGGAUCAUAUUGAUCUUUUUAGGAAGUGAUUGCUUACAACAUUUCUACCGUAGGCUCUGUAUGUGUCAUUGAUUGAUUGACCGUAUUUGAAAUUUUAACAUAAAUUUGGUUGAAAUUUAUGUUCAACAACCUCUGACAUAGAUUUGUUGAUGUCUUGACGACAUGGAUUUGCUGCCACCUUGGACAUAGAUUUGUCAGCAACAUUGAUUAGAACAUGUAGCGACGUGCAUGUGCUCACUUUCAAUAAAUAGAGAUGGUAUUUCCCUUAAAUCACUUACACAGUUACACUAAUACGCUUACUUUGAGUUCUGAAACUCUGUACUUUCACAUAAACUUUGCACUCUAGAUUGUCCACCACUUUUGUUAUCUGGUUGGGCUGCAUCAUCACUCACCCACACCCCUCCCCCCAAUAGUCUUUGGUGCCUUCUAUGUUCUUUGCUCCUCUAUUAUGAAUCUCCAUCACUCUCAUCUAUAGUCUGAUUUCUCUCUUAUGUUAUGCAUCUCUUUGUGCAUCUGCUUUAUUUGUUUUUUCUUUUGGUUAACCAGACCUUGUUUUGAUUUUGCACCUGGGUUGUCAGGUUCUGUGUUAAUUUCUUUCUUCUUCUAUUGAAUUUAUCUGGUUCAAUAGUGUUGAUUGUGAUGAAUUUUCUGUCGCGAUAGUGCUGAUUUGCUUAUAAUGAUGAAUAUAUAUAUUUUUAUUUUUUUUGGGUAGGCAAGCGUGUUAGAUAUACCCCCAAAAAAGAUAUUACAGUGAGGCUCAAUACAACCCAAGGGGGACAAGAAAGACGGCCGAGCAAUCCAUCAAAGCAAGCAUACAAAUCAAAGGCUUAGCACUAAAAAAAACUCUUACAGUCCAAGACCUAGGCCAAGGCAACAAACAACAUGCAAAGCUAAAGGGCAAUGCCUACUAUCUUAUAUAAGUCUUACGGCUAGAUUUCUUAGACUUGAGGAAGAGUUCCAUAAUCCUCAACGGGUAGUUGCAAAAAAGGUCUGGCAAGGUGUCUCAGCAGUGGAAUAGAGGUGGCACCAAAAAGGUGGUCUUAAGUCCUCAAUUGGCAAGGACUAUUUUUUAUACCAUUCUUGCAUAAUUCUCUUAAAAAGUAUACAAGGUAUUGCAUGCUGCACAUCUUGAAAAAAAAAAAAAAAAA